rnacentral:rRNA from 1 species
CAAUAAGUAACCUGGCUUUUACAGGGGAUAACUGUUGGAAACGAUAGCUAAGACCGCAUAGGUGUGAUAACCGCAUGGAGAUGACAUGAAAUAUGCUACGGCAUAGGUAGAGGAUGGACUUAUGGCGCAUUAGCUAGUUGGAGGGGUAACGGCCCACCAAGGCGACGAUGCGUAGCCGACCUGAGAGGGUGACCGGCCACACUGGGACUGAGACACGGCCCAG